rnacentral:rRNA from 1 species
UGGGCGUUCGAGAUUUGAGAGGAGCUACUCCUAGUACGAGAGGACCGGAGUGGACGUACCUCUGGUGUUCCGGUUGUCACGCCAGUGGCAUUUGCCGGGUAGCUAUGUACGGACAGGAUAACCGCUGAAAGCAUCUAAGCGGGAAGCCUCCCUCAAGAUGAGAUCUCGCACUCGUGCUUGCACGAGUCUAAAGGUUCGUUGGAGACUACAACGUUGAUAGGCAAGGUGUGGAAGCGCAGUAAUGUGUGGAGCUAACUUGUACUAAUUAACCGUGAGACUUUCCAUACAACCUUAAAUGGUUUCA